UUCCUGCUUUGAUGAUAAUGGACUGAACCUCUGAACCUGUUUUGCCUCAGCAGAGCACCACGUGAGUCUGUAUCAGCUGAUAUCACUCUGCCAAUCAGCCCGAGUCUGCAAGAAGCCACCAGAACACCACCAGAAUUUUUUGGGUACAUUUUUCUGUGAAGUUGUAACAAACUAUGACCAUUAAAAACUGACAAGGUGUACCAAUA